rnacentral:rRNA from 1 species
CCUACGGGAGGCAGCAGUGAGGAAUAUUGGUCAAUGGCCGGAAGGCUGAUCCAGCCAAGCCGCGUGAGGGAAUAAGGCCCUAUGGGUCGUAAACCUCUUUUGUCAGGGAGCAAAGGCGUCCGCGUGUGGACGAGAGGAGAGUAGCUGAAGAAAAAGCAUCGGCUAACUCCGUGCCAGCAGCCGCGGUAAUACGGAGGAUGCGAGCGUUAUCCGGAUGUAUUGGGUUAAAGGGGUGCGUAGGCGGAUUGUCAAGUCAGCGGGAAAAUUUCGGGGCCAAACCGCGUAGUGCAGUUGAAACUGACGCCCUUGAGUGAGUGAGAGGUAAGUGGAAUGCGUGGUGUAGCGGUGAAAUGCAUAGAGAUCACGCAGAACGCCGAUUGCGAAGGCAGCUUCCCGG